GAUGAACGCUGGCGGCGUGCCUAAUACAUGCAAGUCGAGCGAACAGACGAGGAGCUUGCUCCUCUGACGUUAGCGGCGGACGGGUGAGUAACACGUGGAUAACCUACCUAUAAGACUGGGAUAACUUCGGGAAACCGGAGCUAAUACCGGAUAAUAUAUUGAACCGCAUGGUUCAAUAGUAAAAGACGGUUUUGCUGUCACUUAUAGAUGGAUCCGCGCCGCAUUAGCUAGUUGGUAAGGUAACGGCUUACCAAGGCGACGAUGCGUAGCCGACCUGAGAGGGUGAUCGGCCACACUGGAACUGAGACACGGUCCAGACUCCUACGGGAGGCAGCAGUAGGGAAUCUUCCGCAAUGGGCGAAAGCUUGACGGAGCAACGCCGCGUGAGUGAUGAAGGUCUUCGGAUCGUAAAACUCUGUUAUUAGGGAAGAACAAAUGUGUAAGUAACUAUGCACGUCUUGACGGUACCUAAUCAGAAAGCCACGGCUAACUACGUG
rnacentral:rRNA from 1 species